UUGUAUGGAUUUCAGCAAAUUUAUACAGAUUUUUAUUAUAAAUUUUGUUUGUACCUGAUUUUACACCAUCAACCCGAGCAAUCGAGGCUGUUGAAUGAGCAUAGUUCUAGACCGUUGGAUGAGAUGCAAUAAGGUGUUACAAUUGGAAUGAAAUAAUUUAAGUGGGGUUUAUGGUAUAUUAUUAUCAGUAUAAAUCCUAUGAGAUUAUUCCAAAAGUUUAAUGUUUGAUGAAGAGUUGAAAUGAAGGAGGACUUCUCUCUUUAAUCUCUUUAUGCGGGUCUACUUGGGAUAUACCACAUCAGGAAAAGCCACAAGUGAAGAGUCGUGCAUCGUAAUGACUACUAUCAAGAUAACAUCAAAUUUGUUUGGAUUAGAUCACAACAUGAUAAUUCACUAUUAUUAUGCAUGGCACUUGGAUUGGACCAUUAGUUUGGAUUGCCACCAAAUAAUGGUAGGCAUUGAUUUAUUUUUUAUUUUUUAUUUUUUUGUUGAAAUGGUAGGCAUUGAUUGGUUUUAAUGCAAUUGCAUGCAUUAUAUCCACUAGAGUUGCAUUAUCACAUCUUUAAAAUUCCAAAUUGAUGGGAUUUCAUGCAUUAUCACAUUCCAAAAAAGUGGGAGUUCCUUCACGCGAGAUUAUCCAAUAUUCUUAGGAAUAUUACUUCUACACGCGGGAUACUCAUGGCAAGCAGUUUUACAACAUGCAAUCAAGUGUACUAGCAUUAUAAGUAUCGUAGUAUUAGCAACAUUAAAGGCCCUUCCAAAUCAACAUACAAAUUUGUCAUGUGCAAACUCUUACUCUAUGCGAACCGUCGCUCUCAAACAUCUUGAGAUCUUUUAAUUUUACACUUUUUCCGCCAACACACCUUCAGUUUGGAUAAACAACACUGCUUCAAGACUGACUGGUUAUCUAUCCAAGUCUCGGUCAACAAAGAGUCUCUGAAUCCUUGUUGGAAGGUGUCAUCUUAUCAGCCUUCUCGGCGAUGUGAGGUGUUACUAGGUUACUUAGCAUUCGGCACACUGAAAAACUAAAUUUGAUAUUGAACUUCGCAAAAACUAGCAGCCUUGUCUUUAGGCUUUAGAACCUGAAGGCCGAGAC
rnacentral:lncRNA from 1 species